GUGGGGAAUUUUGGACAAUGGGGGCAACCCUGAUCCAGCCAUGCCGCGUGUGUGAUGAAGGCCUUCGGGUUGUAAAGCACUUUCGGACGGAACGAAAUCGCACGGGCGAAUAUCCCGUGUGGAUGACGGUACCGUAAGAAGAAGCACCGGCUAACUACGUGCCAGCAGCCGCGGUAAUACGUAGGGUGCGAGCGUUAAUCGGAAUUACUGGGCGUAAAGGGUGCGCAGGCGGCCCCGCAAGUCAGGCGUGAAAUCCCCGAGCUUAACUUGGGAAUGGCGCUUGAAACUAUGGGGCUGGAGUGUGGCAGAGGGAGGUGGAAUUCCACGUGUAGCGGUGAAAUGCGUAGAUAUGUGGAGGAACACCGAUGGCGAAGGCAGCCUCCUGGGCCAACACUGACGCUCAUGCACGAAAGCGUGGGGAGCAAACAGGAUUAGAUACCCUGGUAGUCC
rnacentral:rRNA from 1 species